AAUCAACGCUGGCGGCGUGCCUAACACAUGCAAGUCGCACGAGAAAGGGACUUCGGUCCUGAGUACAGUGGCGCACGGGUGAGUAACACGUGACUAACCUACCUCCGAGUGGGGAAUAACCUAGAGAAAUCUGGGCUAAUACCGCAUAACACUUACGAGUCAAAGCAGCAAUGCGCUUGGAGAGGGGGUCGCGGCAGAUUAGUUAGUUGGCAGGGUAAUGGCCUACCAAGACGAUGAUCUGUAUCCGGCCUGAGAGGGCGGCACGGACACACUGGAACUGAAACACGGUCCAGACUCCUACGGGAGGCAGCAGUGGGGAAGUUUUGCGCAAUGGGGGAAACCCGUGACGCAGCAACGCCGCGUGGAGGAUGAAAUCCCUUGGGAUGUAAACUCCUUUCGAUCGGGAAGAUAAUGACGGUACCGAGAGAAGAAGCCCCGGCUAACUUCGUGCCAGCAGCCG
rnacentral:rRNA from 1 species